rnacentral:rRNA from 1 species
GACAGAGGGUGCAAACGUUGUUCGGAAUUACUGGGCGUAAAGCGCGUGUAGGCUGCCCCGCAAGUCGGAUGUGAAAGCCCUGGGCUCAACCCAGGAAGUGCAUUCGAAACUGCGGGGCUGGAGUCCUGGAGAGGAAGGCGGAAUUCUCGGUGUAGAGGUGAAAUUCGUAGAUAUCGAGAGGAACACCGGUGGCGAAGGCGGCCUUCUGGGACAGUGACUGACGCUGAGACGGCGAAAGCAUGGG